GAUGAAGAACGUAGCGAAAUGCGAUAAGUAAUGCGAAUUGCAGAAUUCCAGUGAGUCGUCGAAUCUUUGAACGCACAUUGCGCCCUUUGGUAUUCCGAAGGGCAUGCCUGUUCGAGCGUCAUUAUCACCCCUCAAGCCCUCGGCUUGGUGUUGGACGGUUUGGUGGAGGCCCCCUCGGGGGCUCCUGCCCCUCCCAAAGACAAUGACGGCGGCCUCGUUGGACCCCCGGUACACUGAGUUCUUCACGGGACACGUAUCGGACACAUGGGUUUACGGGACACGGUCUGCCUCCCCUCAGGGAGAAUCUUUCUAAGGUUGACCUCGGAUCAGGUAGGGAUACCCGCUGAACUUAAGCAUAUCAAUAAGCGGAGGA
rnacentral:misc_RNA from 1 species